UUCCAAUGUGUGGAUCUGAUUAACCAACAAAGAGAUCAAAAAGCAUUUGUACAAACUAUCUGCAUCCCCUUUAGCUCAUCAUCUACUCGUGAACACACAGGGAUCCGACCGAUACUUCCAUCAGGUAUGACAUGUAUCAAAGACCUUUUCUUUCCUCCUCUUUCGAGUGAUUGUUCUCCAACCGUAAGCACAUUAGUAGUAGGACGAUAGCAUUGCUUCCAUCGGUAGUCGUCCUCCGUUCGUUUGGAAGAACGCAAUGAUCCCGUCGUAGACGACAUGCUUCGCAUUUGCCCCCAUCACCAAGUCCGCACGGGCAUAGUCCUUCACAAACUGAACAGCGAGCUUGUCGCUAUCGUGGUUCUUGAUAGCAUCCGACAGAGGCAUCACAUCCUCGCCGUAGCUGAGCAGCGGCGGCAGGUCGCGCGGUAUGUUCGACUUGUUGUGCACCGGCGGACUGCCUUGCCCGUGGUAAGCCAUGUUCGUUUCGUAGUUGUACUUGGUCAGCACUCCCAUCUCCGAACGCUGUGAGUCACAACACUGGGAACUCGUGGUGUAUGACAAAAUGCGGCACCGGAUUUUCUACCAUCUGUGACCAGUCGGCAAAUCAUGGAUGACCAACUCAUCCCAAGACCACGCCCAGUAAGCCCGCUCGGAGAUGCCAGAAAUGAGAAUAUGAUGCUACGAGCAGCAGCAACAACAACGACUCAGAUGCCAACCAGAACAAUCUGCUGCAGUAAGUUCUUGGUCACAAGAGGAGCUUAUCAGAAAUGUAGAGAAGAUGACAAGCCGGGUCUGACGGAUCAAGAAGAUGCAUGGCGACGGCUCCACCAAGUGCCUCUGGUGUUGGCAAUCCACACGUCGAAAUCAUUGUCUGCUAAUAUGAAUGCCAAUGAUUCUUGAGGAUACAAGUAAGUUGGAUACAUGAAGAUAUGAUAUCUGAUUGCAUCCAUCAAGACAACUAGUCAUUGCUGUUAGAGCAUCCAUGCACGAGAAGUGGAGAUGCAUGCAUGAACGAGACUGAUGACUGCAUGAACUUACCAUGAGCACUCCACGCUGCAGCAGCACAGGCUGCCUCCUCUUCAGCUGGCCACCUCCCCCUGCUCUUCCUCUACCCUGCUGAAUCCUAUGCUGGAUUAGCAUAUCUCGUUCAAAGACAGCGACGGGCUUCAGAGGUGCUGCAUCCUCUCUACCCAUCAACUAUGGAUGCGCUUCACUGCUGCCUCGAAUUCUCAGCACUUGUAGCCCAGCGGGGUUCACGAUGGAAGCGCACACGCCAUCGAUCUCGGGAUCCUCGCCAUUGAUGGAGAGGAGAAAGAAGGUGAUGACAAGAGGCCAAUUCCAGCAAUGGAAUUGCAUGUUGGAGGCUGUCAUAUGAAGGGAGAGGAGACGUAAGAUGGAGAAAUAUAUAGGAAGGUUUUGUCUAUGUGAUGAUAGCCAUCACAAUUCCAGCCCAUAUCCUCAUGGCCAUUUCACGUC